rnacentral:rRNA from 1 species
UAAGGAAUAUUGGUCAAUGGACGGAAGUCUGAACCAGCCAUGCCGCGUGAAGGAUGAAGGUCCUCUGGAUUGUAAACUUCUUUUAUUUGGGAAGAAAUGUAAUUAUUCUUGGUUACUUGACGGUACCAGAUGAAUAAGCACCGGCUAACUCCGUGCCAGCAGCCGCGGUAAUACGGAGGGUGCAAGCGUUAUCCGGAUUUACUGGGUUUAAAGGGAGCGCAGGCGGGUGUCCAAGUCCGUGGUGAAAUCUCCGAGCUUAACUCGGAAACUGCCAUGGAUACUGGAUGUCUUGAAUAAUGUGGAGGUCAGCGGAAUAUGUCAUGUAGCGGUGAAAUGCAUAGAUAUGACAUAGAACACCUAUUGCGAAGGCAGCUGGCUACACAUCGAUUGACGCUGAGGC